GUUAAUUAAACUAUGGUCCUAUUACCCCCUCAAAUCCAUUUUUUUUGUAAUUUUAUACACCUUUUUGACUUACGUGGCAUCCAAACAUCUUCCAUGUGCCUCAACUAUGUGGAAUCAUGGAGUGUGCCACGUAAGUCAAAAGGUGUAUAAAAUUCCAAAAAAAAAAAAAGAGUUUGAAGAGGUAAUAGGACUUUAGUUUAGUUAAGGU